UAAUGCACAUCAUGACUGGAGUUGGACAAAGGAUUUUGUCAAAUCCAGUCCACCAAAGGAUUUUUAGAGCAGAAUUGUCUGCACUGGGCACCAGUGAAGGACUUCUGGCUUCCCAUUGUUUGAUUCUCCCCAGGAAAAAGCACUGGAAGUCCCCAGGGGCACACAGACACUGUUUCUGGAAGAGAGCCUGACAGUCAAUACAGGAUGGAAUGGAAUAGGAUGGAAUUACACAAAGUCAAGACUGAAGCCAGUGACUUCAGGACCCAAAGGGCAGUGGAAGGUUGUGUGUAACAUCAGAGAAAGGAUGGUCUUCAUACAUGCCCUGAACCCCCAUGGAUGUAAGAGAGUGCGGCACGUCCAUCUGCAUUAACGGAUGACGCUGGGCAGCAAAUUCAGCACUGCCAGUGGGAGAAGGAUCGCCAUCAUUUCUUACCAGCACAAGGGCAUACCUGCAUUGUGUUUUGUGGGCUGAAGUAAGGUGGCUGCUUGUGCUCUCCAAGCCUGCCAGCUCCAAACGUGAAAUCAUACAAGCAUGGUUAGCCCAGCAGUGAACACAAGCCCUGCUGAGAGUCGGGUUUAGACUACCCCAGGUUCAACACUGCCCUAACACAGCCACACCACUCUCAGUUUACAGCUGGCUCACAUCUGGCUGCUUCAGAGCACAGGCUUCUCUCUGCCUGCAAAUCAACUCAGAGACAUGCUUGAAGAUACAGUCCAGAAACCCAAAACAGUCAUAUUCCCCACUCCUUCCUUUCUAUUUUUUCUUUUUUUGUUGUUGUUUUUUGCUUUUUCACCAACUUUUUGGGUGUGGCUCCUUUCCAGGAGGGCACCUGAAUGGUUUAUUAGCAAGAAACAUUGCCUACAGUUUCACUAGUUGCAUAGACAGCAACAAUACUAGAAAGAAAUAUUACGCAGGGUCUUCUGUGAGAAGGCUGUGAGAAGACAGCCAUGGUUGGUCAUCCCAAAGCAGCACUGGAGAUGAGCAAGAAGCAUACCUCAGCCCACUACAACUCAGCAAAACAUGGCCCUCAAGUGGAUUUCCCUCUCCAUCACCAAUGUUCCCGUGCAGGACAAUGCCCAUCCAGCUACAAGAGGCAAUCAGAUUUGUUGUUCAAUUCAAGAGCACAUUAAAGAUGUUACCUGGAUGAGCAGUGUUUCAGGAACACUUUCAGCUGCAGCCAAAGAGGGAGGCAUGGCUCAGCAACACAAACUGAUUCAGUCUAAUAAUUGUCAUAGCUGAGAGUGUCAGGAGGAGGUUUACAAUGGUUCUGCAGCCUGGCUUUAGCCUUAAGAGUUAGGGUGGGGACUGUAAAGAAUUGGCAGCUGAUAACAGAAAUGGAAUGAAAUCAAAAUAUCUAUCCUUUGCUUAUUCAUCAUCUUGAAAUAUUUAUAAUGGUCCAAGUAGCCCUCCACCCACCCCGCACUGGAGCUUUUAAAUGUGUGUCCAGAUUCAAGAGUGGCAGCAUCUUGAGUGCAUCUCUGGAUUAACCCAAACCCUUCUGCUUAGGGCAUUAACAGAUACUUUAACAAGAUAAGACCAGAAUCUAAGCUAGCCUCAGCUUUGUAUUUGCUGCCUAAUCCCAAAUUAAUGUUAGGUGUUACAAGUCUAAAAUGAUCCCUAAUGAACCCAGAACGUGGCAUCCUGGAUGAAGACAUGCAAGGCCUGACUCCAGCCAACAGGCCUCCACUCUAAAUAUAAAUAAAUAUACAUAUGUAAAUAUAGAAAAAUAAGUUUAGGGCCAACUGCCCUUAAUAGGGCAAUCUAUAUUACGAUACCUACCUAAGUGGAUUUCAAGUCUCCCUCUGACUUAAGUUUAACAUUUCUCUCAGCCCUCUAAUUAUUUUUUUUUAAAAGAACUGUACACAUAGCAUCCAUAUUAAAAUCUUGAAUGUCCAUAAUGCUUCUAGAGUUCACAUCUGCAGUUUUCUUUGUUCUCUUUAAGGAGAUGGCUGCCAGUAAGGAAGAUUACAUGUUGCCUUGAAUUUUCCCAGAUUAUGUCUGCUUGGAUCCAGCAUUAUGGUUCAGCCUUUUGUACACAUGGAGAGGGCAGCUGGAACAUUUCAGAUACAGAUGUGAACCUCCCCAGAGUUAAUUAUUCACAUUAUUGUUUGCAUCUUCGAUUUGAGUUACCCAGCUUGUAUUAAAGUCCUACAUACUA